rnacentral:rRNA from 1 species
AUGCAUUGUGUUCCCGGUGAAAGCCGGGUAGCUGGUAGCAAUACCAGCGCCUUGCACAGGUGCUGCAUGGCUGUCGUCAGCUCGUGUCGUGAGAUGUUGGGUUAAGUCCCACAACGAGCGCAACCUCUGUGUCCUGUUGCCCGCAAGGGAUCUCUGGACAGACUGCCCUGUGAAACGGGGAGGAAGGUGGGGAUGACGUCAAGUCAGUAUGGCCCUUACGGCCAGGGCUGCACACGUACUACAAUGCUCAGUACAGAAUGAACCGAAUCCGCAAGGUGGAGGAAAUCCCUAAAACUGAGCCCAGUUCGGAUUGGAGGCUGCAAUUCGCCUCCAUGAAGCCGGAAUCGCUAGUAAUGGCGCAUCAGCUACGGCGCCGUGAAUACGUUCCCGGGCCUUGUACACACCGCCCGUCACAUCAUGGGAGUCGUUUGUAGCCGAAGUACGCGCGCUAACCGCAAGGAGGCAGCGUCCUC